CCUACGGGAGGCAGCAGUGGGGAAUCUUGCGCAAUGGGCGAAAGCCUGACGCAGCAACGCCGCGUGCGGGAUGACGGCCUUCGGGUUGUAAACCGCUUUCAGUGGGGACGAACCAAGACGGUACCCACAGAAGAAGCCCCGGCCAACUACGUGCCAGCAGCCGCGGUAACACGUAGGGGGCGAGCGUUGUCCGGAUUUAUUGGGCGUAAAGAGCUCGUAGGCGGUUCGAUAAGUCGGGUGUGAAACCUCCAGGCUCAACCUGGAGACGCCACCCGAUACUGUUGUGACUAGAGUCCAGUAGGGGAGCGUGGAAUUCCUGGUGUAGCGGUGAAAUGCGCAGAUAUCAGGAGGAACACCAGUGGCGAAGGCGGCGCUCUGGGCUGGAACUGACGCUGAGGAGCGAAAGCGUGGGGAGCGAACAGGAUUAGAUACCCUGGUAGUCCACGCCGUAAACGUUGGGUACUAGGUGUGGGGUCUUAUCAACGGAUUCCGUGCCGCAGCUAACGCAUUAAGUACCCCGCCUGGGGAGUACGGCCGCAAGGCUAAAACUCAAAGGAAUUGACGG
rnacentral:rRNA from 1 species